CUUGCGACAGCCGUUUGUUUCCAUGGAGCUCGGCAGAAGCUAGAAACUCGAUUUACGGAUUAGCUAGCAGGCAGCUAUUCAGUUAGCCCGUUGGUGUUUGUUUGGUUAUUUGUUUCAGGAUGUCAGGACCAAAUACCGAUUAUACCGAGACUUUGUUUUCAUUUGAGUUUUUGGUGGAAUAUAUCAGAGUCGGCACAGAAAGCCAAACUUCCGACGAGCUUGCUCUUGGAUUACGACUGCUGGAUUUUCCGACGCUGCUCAUUUAUCAGCCUCCUCAGAUCGGUGGUGGCAUUAAGAAACCGGAUCAGCGGGGAGAAUGGGCUUUCAACAGAGGGAAAUCUUGCUUCUUUAAAAUGAACCUGGACUCACUGCAUACCAAUCUAUCCAGCAUUCCUCUCUAUGUUAUGGUUUUGGAUGUGAAAGAGGACGUCCCCAAAUUAGUUGGUACCUCACUCGUCUCCCUGGCCAAAGUGAUGGACGGAAUUAUUCGGGAUGUGAACAAACAUGGCAUUUCAAGUCCCUCAUCUCAUUGGGAAAGGGCGAUUGUUGAUUUAUGCAACCUUGCUGGAGAGAAAAUUGGAUCAAUUUCCCUGAGAUACAAACUGCUUAGUCUGGGAGCCAGUUUACUACCACAUAUCACAAAAUACGGCCUUAAAAGCCCCCUUUCACAUGCAGGUCCCAUAGUGAACAACAUCCCAGAAUCACUGCCUCUUGACUGUGGGGACGUCUGCUCAGCCACUCUGGACAAGUCUGACGUUAACAUCAACACCCCAAACAAAAAAUCAGGGGAACCCAUAGUAAAUGAGGACAAACGGGACAGUGGUGUGUGCGCUGCCAUGCAGACUGAACACGAGCCAAGAAGCCCGAGACGGAAAGAGACGGAAAACAACUUUGAUGCAGAUUUAGCCAUUUUUUGUCCGCCUCACCUCUUCUACAACAAUUCUGCAGAGGUACAAAAAACAAAGGAGGGAAGUGAUUGCGAAUUAGUGGAUCUGCACUCGGACCCUUUUGCAUUUGAAGACACAUCUUCUGAAGAAGAGUCAAGUGAAAAUAAAAUAGAAAGUACAAGAUCUCCGGUGAUGGACAGGAGAGUAAGACAUAAAAAUCCAAAGGAAAGGAACCCUGAAACGAAUAAGGUGUCUCUGGAUGUCCUCGGGGAGGCCCUGCGACAGUUGCCUCUCCUAAAUGCUCUUGUUGCUGAGCUAUCGCAGCUGAAUGUCCAGAGCCCACAUCAGCCCUUGUCCAUCCAUCCCAAUCUCUCUUGGAUUUACAGGCCUGCUUCCACAGAGCCUUCGGCCCUUUGUGGAAAGGAGCAGGACAAGUUGUUGCAGAGAACUAAUCCCCAAUGUAAACAUGUACGUUCCCCCAGAGACCGCUGUGCACCAGUAGUUAGGCCUACUACGUCUGUAAAAGUGAAAAACAAACAAGAGGAGGCUUUGAUCGUAAGUAAAAGCUCUCGUAAAUCCACCGGGAGGAAGCUCAUAUGUGGUACGACUAAAACAUUUAAUCUGAGGCUGCAGCAAAUCUCUCCUCUUAAAGUAAAACGUCGCGAAUGCACAGACUUAGUACGGAAUGAAACACAGUCACGUGUGGCCAAAGGGAAGACCGAGUCUGGUAAUACGUUUGGAAAGUCCGGCAAAAGAAACUCCGAGAGCAGAGCUCUAAAUCCGAGCUCCAGUCUAAAUGAAAAGGUAGAGACGAUGAUGCAGAGCAUCGCAGCGCACUCCGCCCUGCAAGGAACGGUCACGCUUAAACCCAGAAAACCUGGGAAAGUUCAUGGUAAACAAGACCGAGUCCUCCCGAGAAUUUCACAAACACCUUCCCUUUCUGCAAGGGACUCGCAAUGUAUUCACAUCCCCAGUGGGAAUGAUGACGAUGAUGUCGGCCAAGACAAAGACAAGAAGGAGCAGCAGAGUAAACCCAAUCACAUCGAGCCACAGGCGGAAGCUGAGAGGCGCAGAGAUGAAAUGGAGUGUGCAGGGAGCAGCACACGCAGCAGCCCCGAAUCUUCAUUUUCAGACUCCAGCAGGGAAGGAAACGAGGAGGCCGACUAUGCUGAUGACUUCAACAGCCUGGGGCUCAGUGACGCGCACUCCCCCGAGCCCAUGAGCAGCCCGGGUCCCUCUGGGGACAGUACCCCCAGCUCGCCUGUCCCCAAGGGCCUCGGGAACUCAGACCGACGCCGCUUCCAGAGGAGCGCGGCCCUCCCCGUGCCCAUCAAAGCCCCAAGCUCUCCGCAGCGCUCCAUGAGGGGGACGCGCAUCAUUCGGCCUCGAACCCAUGCCUCGGCCCUCAGCUUCACCUCCGAUGAAGGCGACAGAGACGGGUCGGCCUCCUCGCAGAGGGCGGGCUCCAGAAAAACGACCACGGCGGAGAGCGGCAUGGUGGACAGUUCCGGCGCCGAGGUUUGCGUAUCGUCAGCGGGCCAAAGGAGCCGGUCGACCAGGGACAGUGGGCCCAGUCGAGGAUUGUCUGAAGAGUCGGUGUCCUCCUUCGACGCGCCAGAGGAAGAGGAACUGGAGGACGGGCUCGGAUCUCUGGAUUUCAAAAAGGAGUAUCGGCAUAUAUCUGAGCUAGUGGCCAAUAAACUGCCUGGUUACACAAUGUAGAAAGAAAAGAAAUAUGUAGAAUUCUAUUGUGACAACAUCAUGGUUACACCAUCUCAGUAUAAAUCCAAGGAAUGUGUAUAUGUGUAAGUUUCCCUUUCAACUUUUGAAUAAAGAGUUUUUCCUGGAAAUAAUGUGGUCAUCUGCAAAGCACAGAAAAGUUUUCACAUAGUGAAACUCUCCCAGCAAAGUUGUUGCUUUUAAUACCACUUGCUACUUUGCAUUUCUCCGUUGGUAUUAUUUGUUUUGCAAAAACGUUUGCAUGACGCAGAUGUGCUGAGGAUUUCUGUUAUUGGGUUUCAGUGGGACAACUGUACCUUAAUUUGCACUAGUGGUAAUUCAUUACGAGGUAUAUUUACUGUAAUUGAAUACUUUACCAAGUCAUUCACUUAUGUAAUUAAGCAGUUAAUCUCAAAGAUGUUUGUACUUGGACUACAUGUUAUGGUACUUCUAUGUCUACACUUGAAGGAAAUGAAUGUCCUUUUUCUUAAUAUUUAAAUGCGCUAAUAUUUUCCAAAAUAAAUCGUUAAAGAUCUAUAAUAAGCACUGAACAACAAUUUCAUGCAACAUGUAGCUACACAAAGACUGUUUCAUUAUUCAAAUUAGAAAAGUUCCUCCCUGAGGAUUCUUGAGAACUAUUUUUCCGGUCGACUCUUUCAGCCGACAUAUUAGAACUUUACGUCUUGUUUGUUAACUUGUGUGUAACUUUAAAUGUGGAAUUUGCUCGUUGAAAAAAAUAGCCCUGCGGUGUAGUCUGUGCUGCGCAAUGUGCGCAUGCGUCAACUCGAUGUGUCCGGAAGAGCUGCCGCAGCACGUCGAGCUGCGUCAGCUGAAAUGUUCAAACACGUCUUUCUGACGGGGCCUCCAGGUAUCAGUUGAUGAAAUCUGUUGACGUUACAGUCGUUUUAAAUACAGACCAGUCGGUUGUCUACGUUAACUGGGAUGAAGACUUAGGAUAGUAGUGUGGGGAAAACCACUCUGGUCCAGAAAGCCUGCGAGGCUUUGGUGUCAUCGGGGACGGCAGUGGGAGGCUUUUACACCGAGGAGGUCAGGGAGGGAGGCCGGAGAGUCGGCUUUGAUGUCGUCACGGUGACAGGAGA